GGACAGACGAUUGAUUAAUUAAAAAUGUUAUGAAUAUUGAUGCAGUAUUUACUAUGUCCUACAUGCUUAUUUACAAUAUUGAAUAAGACAGAUAUGGAUAUGUCUUCACAGCCUGGGGACCGGUGGGAUAAAGGGAUGAAUAAAUAAACAGGCAACUAUGUUACACUGUGGUGGGAUUAUGGGAUAGGAGGACCUUCUGUCCUAGCCUUGCUUGGGGGAGGGGUGAGGCAGUUUCCGGAGGCUCCUCAGCCUGAGCCGGAGGGACACCCAGGCAGGCUCCUCCCCACACCAUUGCCACUGCUGUUGCCAUCACUCAACUGGACCAUUGCAAGAGGCUCCCGAUUGACCACCCUCUCCAAGGGUCUCUCCCGGCUCCCACACACGGAAUCAGUCACUGUAUGUCACUAUUUGUUAAUGGACCCAUCCCGCCGGAUAAGCUGUGAAACUGCCCCGUCUGUGGGGAAACAGCCCCUCGAGAGCCAGGACAGGAACUUCCCCUUUAUGGCGUCAGUACCUAGAGCUCAGGGAGUGCUUGUGGAAAACAGGCAUAAAGGCCCACAGAGAGAAAGGAGGGUCUUUACCGUCCAGGGGGCUGUCCUCUCCCCGCAGGGAUGUUCUCCACGAGCUGGAGAGGCAAGUGUCCCAGACAUGGGGUUUUUUCACAGGUGUAAGCUCUCCAGAAGCAGCCGCUCCUCUCCGGAAUGUGGAAAUGUGCCAGAGGCCAGCUGCCUGAGGGCCAGAACCCAGAGGCGAUCUUCUGUUUUGCACGCCAUUUUCUUUACAGCUCUUCCGGGGACCUUGCUGCCAGCCCUGCAUGCCCUGGGGCCCAGAUUCUCUGGAUGCCCCCACAGUUCACACGUGCCCUGGGCUGUGGCUUCUGCGGGGCACCCACCUCUGGGCUGGGCCACCACAGAGAAAUAAUAAACAGCAGCACUGCUUCCAGAGCCCUCUGCACCCGCAGGGCACGGUCUCACUUAACCCUCGAAACUACUGGUCCCACCAACAAGUAUUUAACGAGAGCCCGUUUGCGCUGGGGGUCGAGAAGGACACGGUGAUGCAUUUUGUGCUUCAGGAGCUGACAAUUCAGCUGCAUGACUGUGAAAGUCACUGAACUUCUCUGACCUUGUCUGACCGUGAGCAUCAGCCAUCCUCAGGGUGAGUUCCUACAGGGCAGCUGCUCUGAGUCCCUGAGUUGGAGGCGUAUGAGGAGACCACACAGUAGAACUACCAGCUGCUAGUAGAAACACCACGACGCACAUGAGCAUUCUUCCAGAAUCACUUAACCCCAGAACUUCCAGGCCUCGUCUAGUCAAUGCAUCAGCACUGUCUGAGUCUCUGCCGCAUCCAUGUGAUUUUUUCUCAGCAACAGGAGGACUUUGGAGAUCAUCAAAAUAGUAAUGGCGGUUAUCUCAGGACAAUGGGCUUAUGGUGAAUAGUAUUUCUGUUUUGCGCGGCUUUCUGUAUUUUCCAAAAUAUCUAAAACACAACUGUAAUAAUUUGCCUUGAGGCAAGGAAGGAUGAAAUAUAUUACAGCCAUACGCCUUUUAAAGAAAAAGAUCUGUUUUGGUUUUCUGUUCUAAAACCAUGUGUGGGUGGCUCAGUCGGUUGAGCAUCUGACUCUGGAUUUUGGCUCAGGUCAUGAUCUCACAGUUCGUGGGAUCGAGCCCCACGUUGGGCUCUGCGCUGAAAGCUCAGAGCCUGCUUGGGAUGCUCUGUCUUCCUCUCUCUCUGCCCCUCCCCUGCUCAUGUUCUCUCUAUCUCUCUCUGAAAAUAAAUAAAUGUUGUUUUAGAAAUUAAAAAAAAAGAGUUUAAAAAAUGUGAUUCCAGAAAUUUCCUCAGUUUGCCUCAUCUAUAAAAUAGGAAUACUGAUUUCUUACUGGGUCAUGAACUUGGAAUGCGGUCAUAAACUUGGAAAGUACUUUAUAAUCACGUUAGGUAUCACUGCUGUUGGCAUCAGGAGCAAUCACCUAUGGCAAGAAGAUGUGAAGGUCCUUUCUCAUUGAUACUUAAUACAGCCUCACCACAACCUUGUGAAAUACAGGUUGUUUUGCAAUUUUACUAAUGAGGAAACAGAGAGGGGGCAUGAUCCAUCUGAGGCCACACAGCAGAGGCAGGAGGAUUCAAGCCUUGAUCUCCCGACUCCAAGUCCUGCUUACCUGCAAGUCUUUGAGGGCUGACACCAUAUCUGUAAAUGCCUCGUGGGGCCUGCCCGACAGUCCCGAGCUGACUGUGUGGCCUUAAAACAGCUGUACCCCUUAUCCUCAGCUUCCCCACGAGUGAAACCAAGAAAUAAUCUUUAUCCUCCUUUCUCGACGUGUGUGAGACACAACCUGGAGCAGUUGCGGGCUUAUUAUAAGCACUCGUAUGGGCAUUGAUUAGUAAGCUGCAUAAUCCUUAGGACCCAAGGUCUUCCCCAGAAUAUUCUUUUCCAAAUGGAGUUUCU